rnacentral:rRNA from 1 species
UACGGAGGAUCCAAGCGUUAUCCGGAUUUAUUGGGUUUAAAGGGAGCGUAGGUGGAUUGUUAAGUCAGUUGUGAAAGUUUGCGGCUCAACCGUAAAAUUGCAGUUGAAACUGGCAGUCUUGAGUACAGUAGAGGUGGGCGGAAUUCGUGGUGUAGCGGUGAAAUGCUUAGAUAUCACGAAGAACUCCGAUUGCGAAGGCAGCUCACUGGACUGCAACUGACACUGAGGCUCGAAAGUGUGGGUAUCAAACAGG